CAUGGAAGCUGGCUUUAGAGUAAAACUGGCAGCUAUAAUGGUUGUCAUUUGUACGGUAUACAGGUAUAAAUGCAACCAUUAUUGCUACUGGUUUAUUCGUCUUUGACAUCACCUGAAU
rnacentral:precursor_RNA from 10 species